AGUAUAAGGAGGCAACUGUCCCCCCCCCCCUGCCUACGCCCUUGGGUUACUCUCAGUGAACGGUUCUGAUACCGACUACUACAUUUGAACGCUGAACUGACAGGCUGAAAGCGAGACAAAGUCAGACUGGUCAGCAGAUGGCCAAAAUGUGGCAAGGAGUGGAGGAGUACAGUAAGAGGCAAGCAACCGCAGGUCAUCAACAAAAACACGAAUAAAGGCGUCGAAUUCGAACCGAUACGAAAAGUGGGCUGUGUACUAAAAAAAAUAAGAAAAAAAAGUGAAGAAAAAGGAACUGAUUGCUCCACAUCGACAGAGUUGCCGUCGCCGCUCGUUUCCCUCAGCAGCCAGGCGCCCUCGACAUACCCUUCCUUACCCCUGGCCGAUAGAUGGCGCUUGCUUGUUGCUUUUGUUGUAGCCGAUUCACAUUUUUCCAGCGUCACGUGCGCACUUAAACAUCAGCAUCAUGAUGGUAUUCAGAGCAUUGAAGCGCAACGAGGCCCAAGCUCAGCCGGAGCUCGACUCGUUGCCAGGAGCGAGAACGGGAAUGGAAAUGGGAACAUGAACGGGAACGGGAACGGUAAUGGUAAUGGGAACGAGAACGAGAACGGGAGGUGAGCUGGUAGCACAGAAAAGAGUACCCUCAACUUUGCUCAGACAUACGAGUACUCUUAUACAUGUAUAUACAUAUGUAUUAUAUAUCACAGUCAGUUUAGAAUCAAUAAAAUAUAACUUUGCGUGCUGA